rnacentral:rRNA from 1 species
GCUCAACCGAGGAGGUGCUUUGAAAACUGGUAAACUUGAGUGCAGAAGAGGAGAUGGAAUUCCAUGUGUAGCGGUGGAAUGCGUAGAGAUAUGGAGGAACACCAGUGGCGAAGGCGGCUUUCUGGUCUGUAACUGACGCUGAGAUUCGAAAGCAUGGGGAGAAACAGGAUUAGAUACCCUGGUAGUCCAUGCCGUAAACGAUGAGUGCUAAGUGUUGGAGGGUUUCCGCCCUUUAGUGCUGCAGCUAACGCAUUAAGCACUCCGCCUGGGGAGUACGACCGCAAGGUUGAAACUCAAAGGAAUUGACGGGGGCCCGCACAAGCGGUGGAGCAUGUGGUUUAAUUCGAAGCAACGCGAAGAACCUUACCAGGUCUUGACAUCCUCUGACAAGCUUAGAGAUAAGGCUUUCCCUUCGGGGACAUGGAGACAGGUGGUGCAUGGUUGUCGUCAGCUCGUGUCGUGAGAUGUUGGGUUAAGUCCCGCAACGAGCGCAACCCUUAUUAUCAGUUGCCAGCAUUCAGUUGGGCACUCUGGUGAGACUGCCGGUGACAAACCGGAGGAAGGUGGGAAUGACUCCAAAUCUCAUGGCCCUUAUUAACUGGGGCUACACACUGGUACCAUGGGCCGUACCACA